rnacentral:lncRNA from 1 species
GUUCUUGAUUAAUGAAAACAUUCUUGACAAAUGCGUUUGCAGUUGUUCGUCUUUCAUAAAUCCAAGAAUUUCACCUCUGACUAUAAAAUAAAAAGGCCCCCGACUGUCCCUGUUAGUCAUUACUCCGAUCCCGAAGGCCAACAUAAUAGGAUCAGAAUCUUAUGGUGUUAUUCCAUGCAAAUGUAUCCAGAGCCUAGGCUUGCUUUGAGCACUCUAAUUUCUUUAAAGUAAUAGCGUCAGGGGCACGACCAGGCUAGUUAAGGCCAGAAGCGCAUCGCCGAUAGAAGGGACAAGUCGACCGGUGCACACGAAUGGCGGACCGAUCGACCCAACCCAAGGUCCAAUUACGAGCUUUUUAAGUGCUACAACUUAAAUAUACGCUAUUGGAGCUAGAAUUAAUGCUACUGCUGGCACUAGACUUGCCCUCCAAUGGAUGCUCGUUAAGAGAUUUAGAUUGUACUAAUUCCAAUUACCAGACUCAAUGAGCCCGAUACUGUUAUUUAUUGUCACUACCUCUCCGUGUCAGGGUUCGGUAAUUUUUGCGCAUGCUACCUUCCUUGGAUGUGGUAGCCGUUUCUCAGGCUCCCUCUACGGAAUUGAACCCUAAUUCUCCGUCACCAGUCACCACCAUGGUAGGCCACUAUCCUACCAUCAAAAGUUGAUAGGGUAUAAAUCUGAAUGAUGAUUCGCCGACCUUUUAACUAAUAAAUGCAUCCCUUUUAGAAGUCGGGUUUUGUUGCACGUAUUAGCUCUAGAAUAACUACGGUUAUCCGAGUAGUAGAUACCAUCAAACAAACUAUAACUGAUUUAAUGAGCCAUUUGAAGUUUCACAGUCUGAAUUAGUUCAUACUUACACAUGCUUGGCUUAAUCUUUGAGACAAGCAUAUGACUACUGGCAGGCUCAACCAGGUAGCAUCCAUCAACGACUUUGCUCGACAUGCAAGUGUUUCCACCACAAAUGGUUAAGCAAGACCGACACCUUGGUAAAGUGUUAUUCAAGGGAACCGUUAAAUCAAAGGGACUCAACGAGGCAUACUCUUCAUCCCGUGUUCGUUGCAUGCACUGCAUCUAAGGGAACACUAGACACGAGUGAGAACGCAAGCCAUCACAAUUCACAGCUAUCACAUCACACACACCAAUUUCGAAUCAUGCAACAACCUCUAAAAGGGGUCUAGAUGGAAUGACACAUAAGAGGCGCAUGAAUACCACUUAACGGGUACGCAACACAAGAACCAUAAUUGAACGAUGGUCUGAAAUGACAUAAGGUGAACAUGGGAAGGUUUGUGUGCUGAUUGUUUAAUGGAACCAUACAAACCACUCCCAUCAUAAUUGCCACUCACGCGCCCUUCCAUGGGACAGACUCGACGAUACCAUACGAACCACUCCGUGCAAUGCCAAUGUCAUGAUAGCAAAUGAAACACAUGGUGCCGCCGGAUGCGCUUCGUCGAGCGCGAACAGAAAAGGUAACCGCCAAAAUCGAUAGGGACCAAGGUUCAAAAUUUAUCCGACUACCAAAUCCUCCCCAAACGCACUUCCGACGAACAGGCUCACCCCUAUACGUGGUGUGGCUCAACCCUUAGGGCGUCACAUGCAACAGAUACGCCUAGGUGCACACAUAUUUCCCGAGGUGCGCACAUAUUUCCGUGGCACAAGCCUUCAUCGUGCAGCACUGUUUCGUGCGUCUUACACCACCGCAACUUGACUUCAACCAUGAAAACCAUUCGCAAACACACUACUUCCGGAUGAUUGGGCUUGCGACCCUUCGUGCACAUCCUUCCGUGCAGGACUGGUCACACUUGAAGCCUUGGAAAAUCCAUGGAGAAAACACACCUAUAAGGGGGGGUGUUGAAUAGGUGUCAUGAUUAUCAAUUUCUUAUUUUCGCACCAAAGCCCUAUUCUGGAAAAAGCCAUAGUUAAUCGAUUAAAUGUAUGCCUUAAUCGAUUAACACAUACAAAACAACAAAAGGUAGUAUGGGUUCUUGCAUAGUAAGUCACCGACAAUCAAGAACAGAUAAAGUAGAUAUUUUUAUACAGAAUUAAACUAGAUACAACAACCUAACAAUAUCAAAAAUAUCAGCCAAUAUCAUACAAUAAUAAGACUUGAAAUGUAAAGAGAUAAGGGAUAGAAAAAGCCUACAACAAGGAAUUUUAUCCUGGUUCGUUCGCUGGUCCACUUGAAAACUACAUCCAGGCCUGCCCUUCUGAUCCCAAGAGAUUUUUAUUCAUUAAUAUUGAACCGAAUGUAUAGUUAAAUGCAAACUUCCAAUACAACACUUACUCACUCCCUUCUUCAAUCCAAGAACCCACUUUCCUUGUUUGACUCUCUCAAUCGCCUAAGAAAACCUUUCUUGCUAUCUAGCCCCAUCCAAGAACUCGUUCUAAACUUAAGACCUCUAAGUGUUGGUGAAGACACACCAAAUCUCUUAGGUGAUAAGACACCAAGAGAAAAAUUUCCUUAUUACAAAACAGUACACAAAACAGAUUUUUAUAAAGCACACUUUUGCUCAAAAUAUUACAAUUAAAAAACUCAAAUAAAACCCAUAUACAAAACUCACAAUAUAAUAUGAAUAUGAAUGAGUUUAUGAAGAUGCAGAAACACAUAAUUUCUACCCUAAAAUUCUCUUAAAGAAAUGCAAGAAAACAUGCAAGAAAAGAUAUGAAUGUGUAACAUAUAAACCACAUGCAAUAUGAUGACAAUUAAAGCCUAAGCAUGGUACUAUCUCUCAGUAUCUCAUAAUGCAUUUCACUAUGCCUAUAUGACACAAUCAAACACGAAAAUAUGCACCUAGAAAUUUCUAAAAAUGAAUGAUAUGAUGUGGUACACGUUUUGAAUUUGCAGUCUUUAUAGAAAACCAUUUUGAGUCCCAGUGAAUCAAUUAAAUACCCAUUUAAUCGAUUAACGGUUUGUUGGGAAUAACUGUUUUCUGGUUUUCAGUUUUCUUUUGGAACCGUAAUCACGUUAAUCAAUUAACACAUCUCUUAAUCUAUUAAUUGGCACAUUUUCAGCUUAUUAAUUAAAUGGUAAACAACCUAUAUGUUAUGCUUAUCAACAAUACAUGUUUUACCGAUAUAUUAUGUCUAAGAUGCACAAGUAACAUGUAUAAUUAAUGCUUCAAUUCAUAAUGAUAUAGAUGGAAUGUCUCAUAUAAAUGAAAUGAUUACUUUUAAGGCUUGUGAGAAUUGCAUAUAGGUUUACCUAACAUAGACUCAAAUAUCUAAGGCACACAUCUUAGACUUCUAAAAAUAACUCCAUCAAAAAACCUAGUCUACAUAUGAAACCCUUGAGUCCACGACAUGUUGAUUUGUUGAGUCAUCUCCAAGCUUUCACAAAAUCCUUGUCUUCAUCAAAACAUAGGCAAAAUCCAAAAGUGCGCUACUUGACAAUUUACACUUUCAAUCUCCCCCUUUUUGAUGAUGACAAACUCCACAUCAUAUAUUGUUUGAUGCAUAACUUGAUGAUGGUUAUAUAAUGCAUGGUUGGUAAUUCCAAAUUUAAAUCACAUUGCUCCCCCUUAAUGUAAGUGGGUAGCGAAAACAUGGAAGCUGGAUUUUAAUGUUUACAACAACCUGCAAACACAUCGAACAACAAAGCAACCUUUCUCCCCCUUUUGACAUUAUUAAAAAGAUAAACUAAUCAAUCUAGUCAAAAGUAAGAAGAGUUAUGUAGUGAUAACAAAACUAUAAUCAAUCAAUUAAUUUGGGAAUUUAACUAAUUAACCAGUUUUAAGAAGCUUGAACAAAUGCUCUUGUUAACGACACUUAAUCGAUUAAAUACAUGGUGUUAAUCAAUUAAAUGGUAAAAAGAUAGUGAAUGAACAUUUUUAAUGGCAUAGAUGGCUAUAGAAUAACUAGUUAAGCAUUGAAUGAUCAAGCAUUGAUAUCAUAGCAUGUAAACAACAGGCUUAACCAUACACGAUAGAUGCAUAUAAUUAACAUGGUCAAGAACCAUUAAACACACAUUCAUACUAUAUAUGACAUAAGUAAACAUAUGAUAUAAGCGAUUGAAAAACCAGUAACAUUCAAAGUUCAACAUCAUGCAUAUCAAGUUAUAAAAGUUCAGCACAAGUAGAUAGUAACUAUUACAAACCAAUAAAAGCAAAGAGAAAAUAUGUCUCAAAGAGAACACAAUCAUGAAAUUAGAAAAAUAAGCUUAGGUAAUCGAUUAAGAUGAAGCGUUAAUCGAUUAAAGUUCUUUGAAAAUAAAGUUUUAGCUACUAGAACUUAUUUUAAUCGAUUAAGACUUUUGGUUAAUCGAUUAACUAACAUAAGAUUUGUAGAAUCAAGUAGGUUUUUGAGUUUUAAAAGCAUGCAUAGAUUUUUAACCUAUAUUUAACUAUUUUAAGCAAACAUACAUACAUAUAGAGCUUAUUAUACUACAUCGUGAAUUAUAUUAGGAAUAGAAUGCAUUCAACAAUUAUUCAUUUUGAAGCAUAUAAGGCAUUCAACAUGCGAAGCAAAUAAUAAUCUGGUAGAUGAUUUAAUCAAAAUAUUUUUCAUCAAGGAUUCCAAGCAAGUUCUCUUCGAAGAACAUAUAAAGUAUAUCAUGAAAGGGGCUUGGUGAAAAUAUCUGCUAAUUGUUUAGUAGUUUCAACAAAUUAAAGCACACAAUCGCCUUUUUGAACAUGAUCACGCAAGAAGUGAUGCCUAAUUUCUAUAUGCUUGGUUCUCGAAUGCAAGAUGAGAUUUUUGGAUAGGUUUAUGGCACUUGUAUUAUCACAUUUGAUAGGAAUCUUUUCUAGAUUAAGACCAAAUUCCUUAAGUUGAUGCGUCAUCCAUAGGAUUUGAGCGCAACACACACCAGCGACAAUGUAUUCCGCUUCGGCGGUGGACAAAGAAACAUAAGCUUGCUUUUUACUAUGCCACGCUACUAAGGAACUGCCUAGUAAGUGACAAGUCCCACUAGUGCUCUUCCGAUCCAACUUACAUCCAACAAAAUCGGAAUCAGAAUACCCUAGAAAGGAUAGUGAGGCAUCCCUAGGAUACCAUAAUCUCAUAUUUAUAGUUCCUUUUAAAUAUCUCAUGAUUUGUUUAACAAUACUAUAAUGUGCAUCUUUAGGUAAUGCUUGAAAUCUUGCACACAUGCAAACAUUAAACAUAAUAUCAGGAUGACCCACAGUCAAAUAUAAUAAAGAGUUGAUGAUCCCUCGAUACUUGGUUACCUCAAUAGCUUUUCCCUUUUCGUCUUUUUCUAGAUAGUAAGCUGACGCCAUAUGUAUAGAAGCUUCUUUACAUUUUUCCAUGUUGAACUUCUUGAGUAGCUCCUUGCAGUUGUUCGAUUGAUGAAUGAAGAUGCGACUUUCCGUUUGUUUACUUUGUAGCCUGAGAAAGAAAGUCAGCUCACCGAUCAUCGACAUCUCAAAUUCUCCCAGCAUCAUCUCAGAAAAUUCUUUACAAAGAAUAUCAUUAGUAGAUUGGAAAAUUAUAUCAUCAACAUACAUUUGAACUAACAAUACAUGAUCAUCUAAUAUACAGAUAAAGAGGGUAGUAUCAACCAUACCCUUCACGAACCCUUUUUCUAAAAGAAAAGAGCACAAUCUGUCAUACCAAGGUCUAUGGUCCUGUUUCAGACCAUAGAGAGCCUUCUUGAGUUUAUAUACAUGGUUCAGAAAUUUAAAAUUUUCAAAGCCGGGUGGUUGAUCUACAUACACCUCCUCUUGAAUGUAACCAUUCAGAAAGGUACACUUAACUUCCAUUUGAAAGAACUUAAAGUACAUAAUCGAUGUGAAGAAUAAGAGCAUCAUAAUGGCCUCUAAUCUGGCUACAGGAGCGUAGGUCUCAUCAUAAUCGAUGCCUUCCUCCUGGUUGUAGCCUUUGGCCACUAAGCGUGUUGGAUGUUCUUUUGGCUUUGGGACCAAGUGGUGACUUCAUGGUUUGCUUGAUGGUUAAGUCAAGUCUGGGUGCACACCACUUAGAACACUUGUUACACCGCUAAGCUGCUUGUUCAAUAGCUUUGACUGUGCAGACUGGAACGUGGCCUGGUGCUUGCUGAUCUGGUCAGGAGUCUGGUUCUCCGCUAAGCUACUUUGUUCGAUCGCUAAGCUGCUUGUUCAGAAGCUUGGGCAUGUGCCUAGCUUGUGUCUGACAGUGUCAAGCUGAUUUCUGACCGUGCUAGGACUAGACUGGUGCUAGGUUGAGCGGCCAAGAAGGUCCGCUAAACUGCUUGCUUGAGGAGCUUGGUCUAGGCCAGGCUAGUGUCCAGGUCAGCUUAGCGUGGCUUGGUCCACGCUUAGCUGCCUGGUUGAGCACCUUGGUUUUUGACUUCUUUUUCUUUUUGACCAUGAGCCUUUUUUCUCUUCUUUUCUUCAAUCUAAAUCCUACAAAAUACAUAAAAAAGAAAUACACACACAAAUAUACAAGAUUGUGAUAUUUUAUACAAAAAGUGUUGUUUUGAGUUGGUUUUUCUCAAUUAUGCUUAAGAUAAGUGCCAUAAAAGUGUAUGAAUUUUAGGUAUGUUUAGCACUAGUGCACAACCUCAAUGGCCUCAUCGAUGGUCUUUGGCUCGAUCAGAGAUACUAAAGCAACGAAGUUACAGAAAUUUCAUAAAGAACUAUGGGAAACCACUCCCAUAGAGAUAUCACCUAUAACUUUAUCAAGUGGAUGAUCUUUCUUGGUCUUACACACAAUCGGCAAGUCCUAAUACUCAUCAUGGACAAUUUGCUCUGCUCUUCUUCUUUGUCCUGGUCCAUGCCCUUAGAGUAUGCUUCUUCUAAAGCACCUGCAACAUCAUCAGAAAAUACCUUUCUCUUCUCUUUUGGAGAAGAUUCAUUAAAAUGAACAUGUACAGACUCUUCUACUUGCAUUGAAUAUUUAUUAAACACUCAAUAAGCUCUACUAUGUAACGAAUACCCCAAAAAAUAUUCCCUCAUCCACUUUUGACUCAAAAUUUCCUAAUCCUCUUUUUCCAUUAUUUAAAGUAAAAAAUUUACAUCCGAAAGCAUGAAAUUGAGCAAUAUUCGGUUUUCGACCUUUUAAAAGUUCAUGUGGAGUUUUCAAAAAAGUAGGCUUCAAGAGUAUACGAUUUAUUACAUAGCAAGCAGUAUGCACUGCAUUUGCCCAGAAGUACUUAGGAACCUUGCUUUCGUUCAGCAUGGUUCUAGCAAGCUCCUCUAGAACUCAAUUUUUCCUCUCAACAAUUCCAUUUUGUAGAGGAUUACAAGGAGCCGAGAACUGAUGCAUGAUACCAUGUUUAUUACAAAAUUUAUCAAACUGGUGGUUUUCAAACUCGCCACUAUGAUCAGAUCAAAUGUAUACAAUUUUAAGAUUGAACUAAUUUUGGAUUUGUUUGGCCAGGUUUUUGAAAGAUUUGAAUGCAUCACUCUUAGAAGAUAAAAAUAGUGUCCAUGUGAAUCUAGAAAAAUCAUCAACAAUUACUAAGGCGUAGAAGCUACCACCAAAACUCAUAAUCUAUUAUGGUCCAAACAAGUCCAUAUGGAGAAGCUCGAGUGGUCUUGUUGUGGAUAUUACAUUCUUUUAACCGAAAGAGUUUUUAACUUGUUUACACUUUUGACAAGUGUCACAAGUUUCCUGAUUUCUAAAAUCUAGUUUUGGUAGUCCUUCAACCAAAUCAUUUUUAGAUAAUUUAUCUAGAUGCUUUACAUGAAUAUGAGCGACGCGCCUAUGCCAAAGCCAAAUAUCAUCUUCCUUAGAUAUAAAAUAUUUUGAAAAUAGUGUCGUGACAUCCUCCAGGUUAACCAUAUAGAUGUGAAUAAUACGAUAUCCGACAAACUUAACCUUAUUAGAUAAAUUGUCACGAAUUAUACAACAUUCAGAGUCGAAAGAUAUAUGAUUACGUUUGUUGCAAAGUUGGUUGAUACUCAAUAGAUUGUACUCUAGUCCUUCAACGUAUAGUACAUUGUCGAUCACUACUUGAGUUGAUUUUCCAAUUGCCCUGGUGCCAAGUAUCUUCCCUUUGUUUUUGUCUCCAUACGUGACAAAACCUUUUUCCUUUAAUGGUAGAUCUAGGAAUUUCGAUCUAUCACCAGUCAUAUGCCUCGAACACCUACUAUCAAGAUACCAAUGAUGCCCAUGUGCUCGUAGACAUACCUGCAAAAUAGAUCACUUGCUUCUUUCGGUGCCCAAUUUAUAUUGGGUCCUUUUCUGUUAGUAACCAGGGAGUUAUCUCCCUUUUUCAUCCACGCGUAUACGCCACUCGACACACCAUACUUUCUGAUAUAACAAAAGUAGGAAGUGUGGCCAUGAGUGCCACAAUAGAAACAUGUAGAAACUUUCUUAUUAUAAAACUUUUUAUUUGGUCGAGUUACAGGUUUCCUAUAUGGUCGUUUCCUACGCGAAGGGGGGAUAUACCCUAAUCCAGUAUGGUCAUAAACGGUUCUAGUUUGACUAAGCAUAGUGUUUAGUUUGUUCUGACUCUCUUUGAGUUUUGUGAGUUUUUCAUUAAGUUUCAAAUUUUCAUUUCUCAAAGUCUCGCACGACUCACAGAUAGUUGAUUGACAUAAUUUAUCAUUUGAGCCAUCACAUGUAUUACAAGAAAAUAUUAGAUCUAAGGUUUCAUUCUCAUGUUUCAACUCGUGUAAUUCUUUCUGUAAUAGGACUAUUUUCUCUUCAUUUAGAAGGAUUACGUGUUUUCUAUCGGCACUAAUCCUAUCUAAUAUAUUUAAUUCCUCAUGCAAUUCGACAUAAGCAUUAUAUAAGUCCUCAUAAGGAGGUGAGUCAUCAGAAGAUGAUGAGGUGUUAGAGUAUACCUCAUUAUUAGUCUCCUUUGAAUUAUUUGAGUCGCAAGCUUCAUUUGUUCUGGUCAUUAGGCAUUGCUUAGCAGUCUCCUCCUCAUUUGAGGUGCUUGACGUCGUAUACUCCUCUAGUGCGUCCCAGACAAAUGUAGGCUUUCUUUGACUUGAAGUCCCGAGGAGUGCUCUUCUUCGAAUCAACUUUCUUGAGAUAAGUAGAACAUUGAAAUCUCAUGUGUCCUAGCUUACCACACUCGUGGCAAGUGAAGCGCUCUGUAUUACCUUUGCCUUUUCGAGUUGAUUCACGCGCUUCUUUCUUCUGAAAAUUUUUAAAGCCUCCUUUCUUGAAGAACAUCCUGAAUUUUCGUACAAGAAGGCUCACCGUUUCAUCAUCAAUAUCUGAAUUAGACUCAACAUCUUCAUUCUCUUCAGUAGGUUGAGACGUUGUUCCUUUAAGAGAUAUGCCAUUCCUUUUGCGGUCUGAUUCCUUGCAUCUUCAAGUGCCCUAGUUCCAUCUCGUGCUCUUGAAGCUUUCCAAAUAGUGUUGCCAAAGGCUUGGAGUCAAGAUCCGUGGAUUCCAUGAUAGCUGUAACUUUAGGUUGUCACCUCCUAUCAAGACAAUGCAAAAAUUUAUUAGUUAGUUCUCCUUUGGUGAAAUAUUUAUCUAGAGCAUGUGAAGAAGAUAUUUGCUCCUGACCUUGACACGGUUUUGAUGAAGACACCAACAUAACCUAAAAGAAGAAAUGGAAGAAUACUUAUGAAGACAAAGAAGACAAAGCUUCAAGACAAAUUAGUCUAAGUCUAAAUAGGUACUGCUAUCCUAUACUCUUGAAUAUACAAUAGUAGUAAUGCUCAAACUAUUAUUUUUAAAAGAAAAUUGAAACACUUCAAAAUACUUAAAACAAUUUUCAAAAAAUAUUGUGUAACGGGUUACUGCAUCUAAGUAAUAGGUUACCUGUGUGAGAAAAGAGUUAUCCAACUUAAAACUGAUCAGAGUAAUCCAUUUCUGUGUUUGAGUAACAUAUUACUAGUUUUAAUAAAGUUGAGUAACCAAUUACCCACUUUCUAUAAUCGAUUACUCUAAAUUGAAUUUAAAUGACCAAUGGAAAGAACGUGCGAGUAAUCGAUUACCUACUGGUUUAAUUGAUUACUGAGUGCUAUUGCAUCAGAUUUCAGAUUUCAAAAUGAAAGAUUUUCAUCCCAAACGAAAUGUCUUCACUCCAAUCCAUUCCUACCUUUUCGUAGAGGCACUAUGGGUGAUUGGAAAGUCUAUUUAAAGGCAUUGAAUCUCAUAACAAAAACACACAACUCUCAUACAAAUUUCAAAAGCUCAUACACACAUUCUGAAAUUAUUUUCUGCACUUUUCGCAACUAGUUCUUAAACUUUCAAAGUUGAUUUUUCUGAAGUUGCUUAAAUUAAAGUGUUACAAGUUUACCAACUUAUAAAGAGCAUUAUUACUAAGUAUACAAAAGAGUUGAUUGGAUUGCAAGUUAAAUUACUUUCAAACUUGUAAAGGCAAUUCCGCCAUUAUUGUACAUUCUUCAUUAUUAUUGCAGAAUACUUUCUUUCACAAGGGUGUGAUAAGAAAAGGGAUUAGAAUCAUUGUCAAGGUUUUUUUUCAAGAGUGAAUAUGGAUUAGGGAGUGUGUAAGGUACAUAGAGAUCUCGGAGUGAGAUAUUGUAAUUGCAACUCAUAAUCUUUAGUGGACUAAUCUCUUGUGCUGCAAGAGUACUGGAUGUAGCCUUCAGUGGACAAGAAGGUGAACCAAUAUAAAAAUCCUUGUGUAUUCUCUUAUCUCUUAUCUCUUUGAUUAUUUACUCGUUUAAUUUCUGCAUAUAUUUUGCGCUGCAGUUUAACUCUUGAUUUUGCAGAAAAAUUAGCCAUAAUUUUAAGUCAACUAAUUCAUCCCCCUCUUAGUUGCAAUCUCAGUCUUACAAUUGGCACUAGAGCUAUUUUUGAGUAAGUUAUUCUCAAAUCUGAUCCUAUACCAAAGAUGGCCUCAAGAUCUUUCCUAGGAGAAGGUUCCAACAUCAACCGCCCUCCAAGCUUUGUUGGAUAGUGCUAUGACUUUUGGAAAAUCAGAAUGAGGAUCUUCAUAGAAUCUCAAGAGUUGGACAUACGGAAUGCAAUUGAAGAAGGACCAUAUGAAUCCUUCACCAUAAUCAACAGUGUAAGAGAAGUAAAACCCAAAUCUUCAAGGAAUGAUGAAGAUAAAAAGAAGGUGUAGUAUGAUCUCAAAGCAAAGAACAUCCUCAUAUCAUCACUUGGCAUAGACGAAUGCUUUAGAUUAUCAAACUACAAAUCUGCCAAAGAAAUGUGGGAUACUCUAGAGACAACACAUGAAGGAACAGAGGAGGUGAAAAGAUCAAGACCCUACACUCUUUCCCAGGAAUAUGAAAUGUUUCGUUCGAAAUCUGGAGAGAAAAUUUUGGAUCUUCAAAAGAGGUUUACUCCUCUUACAAAUCAUCUUAUUGCUCUUGGUAAGAUACUAUCAAUCAAUGACUUGAACUUGAAGGUUCUAAGAUCACUCACCAGAACAUGGCAACCCAAGGUAACAACCAUUUCUGAAAAGAGAAGUUUAUCGAAAAUGUCUUUGGCUGCUUUGUUUGGUAAAUUGCAGGAACAUGAAUUAGAACUCAGCCAACUUGACCAACAUGAAGAGCAAGAAAAUAAAAAGAAGAAUAUUUCUCAAGGCGAAAGUAGACAAAUAUGAAUAAUCAGAAGAUGAGUUUGACAAGGAAGAAAUGGAAGACAUGAGUCUUCUUGUAAAGAAAUUCAGCAAGUUCCUUAAAAUGAACAAAAGUGGUAAAACUGGACAAAUAAGGAAAUUCACUAAAAACAAUGACACCUCCACUUCAAACCAAAAUUUCACAUGCUUCGAAUGUGGCAAGCCUGGACAUAUGAAGAUGGACUGUCCAAACUUGAAAAAAAGUCCUUCAGAGGGAAUAACAAAAUGAGGACUAGAUGGAGAACCUACAUUGCUUUGGAAGAUAAUGAUACCAGUUCCGCUUCUGAACAAGAAAAUGAAGAACAAGCACAUCUUUCAUUGAUGGCAUCUCAUGAUUCAGAUGAUGAAGAGGUAAAAAAUAAUCAACUAUAUUCUUCUAAAUUACAAACUACAUUGAAUGACUUGUAUGAUGAAUAUUUUAAACUCACAAAUAUGUUUGUAAAACAAAAAACUUGAAAAUAAAGUUUCAACUUUAAAUCUUGAACUUAAUAAGAUGAAUAAGAGUAGUAAAAGUUUAGAAAAGAUCAUUAAUGAUCAAGGACACUCAACAGACUGAAGAGGUCUUGGCUAUUCAAAUAGCAAUGGUUCUAAGAAACAAAGUAUCUCAACUAAGAUAAACUUUGAAAAAUAAGGUAUCCAUGCAUUUAAAAAUAGUAAAAAUAAAUCUAGGAUACAUGAACAUCAACCCACAUGUACAUAUUGCAAAAACCAUGGACAUACACCAAAUACUUGUAAAAUUAGAAAAUAUGGUGUACCCCUAGGUCAUUUUAGAUGGGUUGAGAAAGGUACUAACUGUAUAGGACCCAAAGAAUAUGGGGUACCUAAAAAAAUUUAAAUUGUUUUGCAGGAAAAUUUGAGAGACGCCUGCAACUUAUGGUACUUGGAUAGCGGCUGCUCAAAACACAUGACGAGCGAUAGAAACAAGUUCUCUGUCCUCACUCCAAGGGACAAAGGCUAUGUCACAUAUGUUUAUAACAACAUGGGAAAAAUACUUGGAGUUCGUAGAAUUAGUAAGCCACCCUCAACAACCAUAGAAGGUGUAUUAUAUGUUGAAGGGCUCAAGCACAAUCUUCUAAACAUAAGUCAAUUAUGCGACAAAGGCUUCCAUGUGAUGUUCUACCCAGAUAAGUGCAUCAUUGAAAGUAAGAAUUCUCAAAAAUCUAAACUCAUUGCUAAGAGGAUAAUUAAUAUAUAUAUCAUUGACAUAGACUUUUCUUUACCAAUAACAUGUUUAGCUGCAAAUGAUAAUCAUGAUGCAUGGCUUUGGCAUAGAAGAAUUGCUCAUAUACAUAUGGACGCAUUUGAACAAACUUAUAAAGAAAGAGUUAGUAGUUAGUUUACCCAAAAUGAAGUUUGUUAAAGACAAACUAUGUAGUGCUUGUCAAAUGGGUAAACAAACAAAAACUUCUUUUAAAUCUAUGCAUAUGGUUUCUUCUGAUAGACCAUCGCAGUUACUACACAUAGACUUAUUUGGCCCCUCAAGGACAAAAAGUUAUGUUGGUAACUACUGUGCUCUUGUUAUAGUAGACGAUUUUUUGAGAUACACUUGGACUCUAUUCUUACUUCAUAAGAAUGAGGCAUUCUUAGCCUUUAGCAUUUAUGCUAAAAGAGUUCAGAAUGAAAAAUCACUAAAAAUCGCUGCUAUAAGAAAUGAUCAUGGGAGAAUUUCAAAACUCUUCAUUUGAAGAAUUCUGUGAUGAUCUUAGUAUCCAUCACAAUUUUUAUGCUCCUAGAACACCACAACAAAAUGGUGUUGUAGAGAGAAAGAAUCAGUCUUUAGAAGAACUGGCUUGUACAAUGUUGAAUGAAACUAACCUCCCAAAAUAUUUCUGGGCUGAUGCAGUAAGUAUUGUAUGUUAUGUUUCAGACCGAGUUCUUACAAGACCAAUUCUUAAGAUAACCCCAUAUGAACUCUUUAAAGGUAGAAAACCAAACAUUUCUCAUUUCCAUGUAUUUGGUUGUAAAUGCUUUGUUUUAAAUAAUGGUAAGGAUAACAUAUACAAGUUUGAUGCAAAAGUUGAUGAAGGUAUCUUCCUAGGCUACUCUAUUACGAGUAAAGCUUAUAGAGCUUUUAAUAAAAGAACUCUAGUAAUGGAAGAAUUCGUUCAUGUAUAUUUUGAUGAAACCAAUCCUAUUAUAAAGGAUGGGUUAACCUUUGAUGAAGAGGACUUGCCAAGUUCUCAUGCUAAGGAAAUUUCGAUAAAUGAUUCUACAACUAAUUCUGAGCAUUUGAAAAUGGAUGAUGAUCUAUCUCAUCAAGAAGAGAAUAUUCACUAUGAUUUACCAAAACAAUGGUGAACCCAUCGAGAUCAUCCUAUUGACAACAUUAUUAGUGAUAUAAGUAAGGGUGUCACUACUCUUUUAAUGCUAGAAAAUGCUUGUCCAAACAUUGCUUUCAUUUCUCAAAUAGAGCCCUCCAACAUUGAUGAUGCAAUCGAGGAUGAACACUGGAUUCUUACAAUGCAAGAAGAGUUAAACUAGUUUGAGAGAAAGGAAGUUUGAUAACUUGUUCCCAUACCUAAAAAUAGGCAUGUCAUAUGAACUCGUUGAGUAUUUUGAAAUAAAUCUGAUGAAAAUGGUAUUAUUAUUAGAAAUAAAGCUAGACUAGUAGCCCAAGGAUACAACCAAGAAGAAGGUAUAUAAUUUGAUGAAACCUUUGCUCUAGUUGCUAGACUUGAAGCUAUUAGGCUAUUGCUUGCAUAUGCCUGUUCUUUAAAUUUUCAGCUAUAUUAAAUGGACGUAAAGAAUACUUUUCUGAAUGGAUAUAUUCAAGAAGAAGUGUUUGUAGAACAAACUCCUGGUUUUGAAGAUUACAAACAUCCUUCUCAUGUUACAAAUUAAAGAAAGCUCUCUAUGGCUUGAAGCAAGCUCCACGUGCAUGGUAUGAUCGUCUAACCAAUUUUUUACUUGAAAAAGGAUUCACCAAAGGGAAGGUCGACACUACACUCUUUAUAAAGAAAAUAAAUCAUCAUACUCUUCUUGUUCAAAUUUAUGUAGAUGAUAUUAUUUUUGGUUGUACUAAAGAAGUUUUGUGUAGUGAUUUUUGGCAAAAUGAUGCAAGGAGAGUUUGAAAUGUCGAUGAUGGGGAAGUUGAAUUACUUCCUUGGAUUACAAAUCAAACAACUUGAUAAGGGCAUUUUUGUAAGUCAAUCCACGCAUUGUAGAGAUGUGCUGAAAAUAUUCGAUAUGGAUGACUGCAAGCCAAUAGCUACUCUUAUGGGAUCUAGUACGUACAUCGAUACAGACGAAGCUAGAAAAUGUAUUCAAAUAUCAAAGUAUCGAGGUAUGAUUGGAUCUCUUUUAUAUUUAACUACUAGUAGACCUAAUAUCAUGUUUAGUGUAUGUCUGUGUGCUCGUUAUCAAUCUACACCAAAAGAAUCACACUUAGUUGCUGUUAAGAGGAUCAUGAAAUAUCUUAAAGGAACAACUGACGUUGGGUUGUACUAUCCAAAAGAAAGUAUAUGUGAUUUGGUUGGUUAUUCAGAUUCAGAUUUUGCUGGAUGCAAAAUUGAGAGGAAAAGUACAAGUGAUACUUGUCACAUUUUAGGAAAUGCUUUAGUCUCUUGGCCUUGCAAUAAACAAGCAUGUGUUGCUCUAAGCACUGCUGAAGCAGAAUAUAUAGCAACAAACAUUUGUUGUGCCCAAGUGUUGUGGCUUAAACAACAAUUACGAGAUUAUGGCUUAGACUUAGGCUGCACUUCUCUAAGAUGUGAAAAUACUAGUGCUAUAAACCUCACACAGAAUCUAGUUAUGCAUUCUAGAACCAAAUACAUAGAUAUAAGGCAUCACUUCCUUAGGGACCAUGUCCAAAAGAAAGAUGUGAUUGUAGAAUUCGUUGAUACUCAUAACCAACUAGCAGAUAUUUUCACUAAACCACUGGCUAAAGAACCUUUUUUUAUAAAAUUAGACGAGAAUUCGACAUUCUCUAUGAAGCUUAUCUAUCUUAACAUGAUUAUAUGAUUAUAUGUGUGCUUCAUCAUAUUUAUUUCAUGCCUACUUGUACUUAAAAGUGUUUAUUGAUGUUUAAAAAAUUCAAAUUUUGGAUAAAAAAUCAUUUCCAUAGCAUAAAUAUGCCUAAAAUUAAGUUUUUCUGGGGUCAGUAGUCGAUUACACUGAAGAGUAAUCGAUUAAAAGGUUGAACAUCGUGUUUCAGUAACCGAUUACUCGGGGUGUGUAAGAUUGCUCAAAGCUGCUGUUUGAAAAUUUUUAAAUUUUUAAAAUUUUGAGUAACCGAUUACUCAAAGUGAGUAACCGAUUACUCUAUGCAGUUAUAUAUGUGAUUUUUCUGCAUUUUUUCAAACUCGUUUUCUCUCGUGUUCAACUUCAUCAAUCUCUAAAAUCUUCGUUUUUGAUACGUUUUGGGUGAUUUUUGUGUCUAUUCAUAUCACAUUUUCAUCUCUAAACACUUCUUCACCAUCAUUUUCGUGUUUAGUGGCUUAAAUCAAAAAACCCCAAAUCUCCAAAAACCAAAAACCUAAAAGCUCAAAAACCACAAUCCAUGGCUUCCUCUUCUAGAUCAAAGAAGCAACGCACAAAUGUGAAUCAAAGGAACCAAUGAACUUCAUAUUUGGAGUCUAACCCUCUGGAUUUGACAAGACUCCUUGCUAAUGAUGAGCAACGUAAAGUCUUUGAGGAGCACUUUCACGGUGGAGUAAUCUUACUCCGAAAUACGGUAAUGAAGGGAAUUUUGAGUUUGAAAAUUUUACUUUUCCUUAUAUUUUAUGGCAACAAAAUUUUUUUGACUUCUGUUGUGAAACUAACGUCAUUUAUCCUAAACUUGUUCGAGUAUUUUAUUGUAACAUGAACUUUCGGAAAAAUCGUCUUACUUCCUAUGCGAAAGGAAAAGACAUUGUUUUGGAUUUGAAAACUUUUAGUUCAUUGUUCUGUAACAUACCCUAUCAAGGUAGCAUAACAGGUUUCAACCUUGUAUGUGAAUGAGAUAAUUAUGAUCGAAAGGAUUUCUACCACUCUCAGUGUAGAAUUUCUAAAGAGGAAAUAGAAAUGUGUAAGCAACAAGGUUUUGGUGAGACUAUUAAAAAUAGGGAUAUCAUAUCUGUUGGAUAUCUCAAACUUGAAGAUCGUUUGCUUCAUUAUUUUGUGAGCUAUGCCAUUUUGCCAAAAUUUUCAAACCAUUCUCAAAUUAGUGACAUAGAACUCCAAUUAAUGUACACUAUGAAGUUUAACAUCAAAAUCAAUUGGACUCAGAUGAUAAUGAGACAAAUGUGGAAUGUUCGAGGAAAUCAAAGCCCCUUGCCCUAUGCAAUUUUCAUAACCAAUAUUCAUGAACAUUUUAGUGUUUCUACUAAUGGGGAAACUAAGGUCCUAUUGAUCGUUGCACCUAUAAGCAUCAAUCUGAUAGACCGAAUGCACCUACUGAUCAAUCAAAACCUACCAAUCCUAACCCUCCUAAACCUCGACCUUCUAAGUUUCAUGCUCAAUCUUCCUUAUCUGCUGUCAUGCCUUCCAAUCAGAUGAUUAUGGACGAGUUGCUUUCUCUUUGAGGCUACAUCACUAACCAGAUGAAUACCUUUGAUACUCUGAAUCAAUAAAUCCAGUUUGAACUUCAUCGUCUCUCUUUUAAGCUGAGUAGCAUGGACGUUGAUGAAGAAAGCUCUAAGCUUGAGUCUUAGAUUAUGUCUAGGAUUUCUGUUUGUUUUGAUGCAUGUCUCUGAACAAUUUACUGAUUUUCUAGUUGUAAUCAUUUCAUAUUUUCAGACAAAAUUUUCUUUAUGUUAUUUUGUUGUUACUUGUGAUCAAAUAUUUGAACAUAUAUGUUUUUAUGAUAUGCAUUGCGAUAGUCGUUUUAUAUCUUAUGAAUAUGUAUGUUGUAUAUAUAUAUAUAUUAUGAUGGAAACUCUUGGCUUUUCUACUUUUUGAUGACGUCAAAAGGGGGACAAAGUUGGGAGAGUGUAUAUUCUGUUUAAAAUCUUUCAGGCACAUAACUCCAAAUGAAAGGGGGAGCAUAGAAAAUAGGGGGAGCAUACUCAAGUCAUCUCAACAUAUCUCAAAGUAUGCUGCUCUCAGAAAACUACAUUCUUAAAGAAGAUAUUGGUUUGUCAUCAUAAAAAAAGGGAUAUUGUGAAGAAGAUCUUUUCUCUUGACCUUGGAACGGUUUUGAUGAAGACACCAACAUCACCAAAAAGAAGAAAAGGAAGAAUACUUAUGAAGAUAAAGAGGGCAAAGCUUCAAGACAAAUUAGUCUAAGUCUAAAAGGAACUUCUAUCCUAUACUCUUGAAUAUACGAUAGUACUAAUGCUCAAACUAUUUUUAAAAGAAAACUGAAACACUUCAAUAUACUUCAAACAAUUUUCAAAAAUAGUAUGUAAUGGGUUACUGCAUCUAAGUAACUCGUUACUUGUAAGAGAAAAGAGUUAUCCAACUUAAAGUUGAUCAGAGUAAUCCAUUAUUGUCUUUUAGUAACAAAUUACAAGUUUUAAUAAAGUUGAGUAACCGAUUACCCAUAUGUUAUAAUCCAUUAAUCUAAAUCGAAUUUAAAUGCCCAGUGGACAGAGCGUUUGGGUAAUCGAUUACCCACUGGUUGUAAUCGAUUACUGAGUGCUGUUGCAAUGGAUUUCAUAUCCCAAACGAAAUGUCUUCACUCCAAUCCAUGCCUACCUUUUCGUAGAGGCACUAUGGGUGAUUGGAAAGUCUAUUUAAAGGCAUUGAAUCUCACAACACAAACAGACAACUCUCGUAUAAAUUUGAAAAGCUCUUAUACACAUUCUGAAAUUAUUUUCUGCACUUUUGGCAACUAGUUCUUAAACUUUGAAAGUUGAUUUUUCUGAAGUUUCUUAAAGUAAAGUGUUUCAAGUUUACCAAAGAGUUGAUUGGAUUGCAAGUUACAUUACUUUCAAACUUGUAAAGGCAAUUCCGCCAUUGUUGUACAUUCUUCAUUAUUAUUGCAGAAUACUUUCUUUCACACGGGUGUGAUAAGAAAGGGAUUAGAAUCACUUGGAAAGGUUUCUUUCCAAGAGUGAAUAAGGAUUAGGGAGUGUGUAACGUACAUAGAGUGUGUAACGUACAUUGGAUGUAGCCUUCGGUGGACAAGAAGGUGAACCAAUAUGAAAAUCCUUGUGUAUUCUCUUCGCCCUUAUCUCUUUGAUUAGUUACUUGUUUAAUUUAUGCAUAUAUUUAACGAUGUACUUUAACUCUUGAUUUUGCAGAAAAAAUGGCCAUAAUUUUAAGUCAACUAAUUCACCCCUCCCCCCCUCUUAGUUGCAAUCUCAGUCUUACAGAGCAACUAAGUGGCUUACCAUAUGUGUGAAUCUUUUUUGCAUGUCACCGAUAGAUUCACUCGACAACAUACGAAACAGCUCGUACUCAUGUGUCAGGGCAUUUAUCCUAGCAUGCUUGACUUCGCUAUUACUUUCUUGAGUCACUUGUAAAGUGUCCCAUAUUUCCUUGGCACUUUGACAUUGCGAAACCUGAAAGAAUUCAACAUAUGAUAUGGCCGAUGUGAUGAUGUUUUUAGCAUGUAGGUUGUAUAGAACCUUUUUACGCUCAUCUUCGAUCUAUAAACUCUUGGGUUUUUCUGUCGAUUCCUCGUCCACUAGAUGUAUUGGAACGAAAGGCCCGUUGACCACAGAUUCUCAAAUAUCCGAGUCAUUGACUUAUAUGAAUAUUUUCAUUCGAACUUUCUGAAAGUGCAAAGUGUCAAGAUAACAAUUAGCUUGCCUAUGUUUUCAUGUAGACAAAGGAAUUAGUGAAAGCUUAAAGAUAUCUCAACAAAUCAACAUGCCAUAGAUUCAAGAGCUUCAUAUGUAAACUAGAGUCUUAGAUAUGUGUCUUAGUUAUUGAGUCUAGGAUAGGUAAACCUAGAUGCAAAUAUCACAAGUUCUAAAAACUAUCAUAUCAUUUUCAUGAGACAUGCCAUUUAGCUAAUUAUUUGUUCAUGCAUUAGUCAUACAUGUUAUUUUUGCAUCUUAGGCAUAACAUAAUGGUAAAACAUGUAUAGUUGAUAAGCAUAACAUAUAAACAAUUUGAGGAGCGUCAGGUUGCCUACAUCGACAACCACUAUUAGGCUAUGAGGAGCUUUGUUCAGAACACUGUUGAGGCACUAAAUGAGAGAUUUUGUGUAGAAUUUGAGAAGUUAAUAUUCCUCAUCCAGGGUGAUAGUAGUCUGACCGUACCUGAUGACAGAGAUCCUCCUCUGCUUCCCUAGAUUAGAAGUUCUUAGACCUUAGAUUUCCUUAGGUUUAGUUCUUCUAUAUGGCUAAUUUUCAGGAUUUAUGCUGCUUUGUAAUUUUGAGACAUAUUUUCUCUAUGCUUUUUGGAUUGUAACUCUAACUAUCUACUUUUGAUGCACUAUUGUGACUUGAUAUGCAUGCCAUUUGAACUUAAAUCGUUACUAUUUUGGUUUUAAUUUGCUUACAUAACAUUCCUAUCUAUGUCAAAUAUAGUAUGAUUACAUGUUUAAUUGUCCUUGAUCAUGUUUGGUUAUAUGUAUCUUUUAUGUUUGAUUGAGCCUGCUGUUUGAAUUGCUAUAAUAUAAAUGCUUGAUCAUUUCAUGCUUGAUUAGUUCAGGUUUAACCUUCCAUACCAUUAAAUCUGUCAUAUUGUUGUAUUCUGUUGUUUUAAUCGAUUAUCCAUCUGUCUUGAUGGAUUAAAUGCAAAUCAAUUUGUGCACGUGUUCAAUUUUUUCAUCAACUGAUUGAUUAAUUACAUUCCCAAUAUUAAUUGAUUAAUUACAGUUUAAUUUCACUUCAUAUCUCUUCUUACUUUUGACCAAAAUUUCAUUUAGUUUAUCUUUUUGAUAAUGUCAAAAGGGGGAGGAACGUUGUUUUGUUGUUUGAUGUGUGCAGGUUGUAAAAUAAAAUUUAGCUUCCGUUGUCUAGCUAUGCACUUUAACUUUGAAAUUAACAAUCAUGCAUUUGGUGACCAUCUUCAAGCUACACAUGAAAAAAAAAUUUGGUGUUGAGUUUGUCAUAAUCAAAAAGCAGGAGACUGAAAGUGAAAAGUGUCAAGAUAGCACUUAGCUUGCCUAUGUUUUGAGGAAGACAGAGUAAUUAGUGAAAGCUUAAAGAUAUCUCAACAAAUCAACAUGCCAAAGAUUCAAGAGUUUCUUGUCUAAACUAGAGUCUUAGAUAUGUGUCUUAGUUAUUGAGUCUAGGUUAGGUAAACCUAGAUGCAAAUCUCACAAGUUCUAAAAACUAUCAUAUAAUUCACAUGAGACAUGCCAUCUAGAUAAUUAUUUAUUCAUGCAUUAAUCAUACAUGUUAUUUGUGCAUCUUAGGCAUAACAUAAUGGUAAAAACAUGUAUAGUUAAUCAAUUAAGUAAGACUUUAAUCGAUUGACGUGAAAACAGUUUUAAUCAGUUUCAACAGAUAACUGAAAAAUAGAAUUCAGUUAUUCUAAACAGCCAGUUAAUCGAUUAACAAGGCACUUAAUCGAUUAACUAGGCAUAAAACAACUUUUCUAUAUAAACUGUGUUUUUACACCAUGCUUCAUAUAUUCAUUCUUAGAAUUGCUAAGUUGCAUAUUUUCGUGCUCAUUGUAUGUUAUAUAGGUAGAGAGAAUUGCAUGUGAGAUUAGUGAGAGAUAGCAUCAUGCUUAGGAUUUAAAAUGUCAUCCAUUGCAUGUGAUUAAAUGUGUUAAUCAUUCUAUAUUUCUUGCAUGAUUCUUUAAAUUCUUUUAGAGAUUUCUUAGGGUAGAAAUUACAUGUUCUUUAUGAUUAUGAUCAUAUACAUAUUCAUAAUAAUUUAUGACAUUUGUAUACGGUUUAUAGCUUGUUCUCAAUUGUAAUAUUUGAACUAUUUUGUGUCGGAAGGGAGGAUUGGAUGUAGUUUUACAGUGAACUGCAAAACGAACCAGUAUAAAAACCUUGUUGCAGGUUGUUUCUUACCCUUAUCUUUUUAUUGUUUUAAGUUGUUUUUAAUUGCACAUUGUAGCUGGUAAUGUGAAUAUAGUAUCAAUGCCAUGUAAAGAUCAUUUAUGUUCAAAUAUAUCUACUAUAUCAUUUUGUAUAAUUUCUAAGUGGUUGUGUAAUCGAGCCAUUCAACAACUCUCUAUUAAGUGCGAUUUAGUCGAUUAAGGCAGUUCUUUAAUCGAUUAACUGGGUGAUUUUCCAGAAUAUGGCUUUGGUGCGAACAACGGUAAGUGGGAAUCGCGACACAUAUUCCCCCCCCCCCCCUUCUAGGUGUAUUCUGUCAAUGAUACUUAACACUUUCUAGUAGGCAUAACCUUCGCCACUGAAUACGGGAGGGCGAUUAAUGGAUGCCCCAUCACCACCAAAGGGGUUGGUGGAACCCAUUUGAUUUCCCUUUAGCAUCACGCGUAUAUGGUUGAGCUAGCACGUCGUACUUGCUCUGAUACUACUUGUUAGGUAUCAGUGGACAAAACACACAUAGAAGGGGGGAGUUGAAUAGGUGUCGCGAUUAUCAAUUUCUGCUUUUCGCACCAAAGCCCUAUUCUGGAAAAAGCCCUUUUUAAUCGAUUAAAUGUAUGCCUUAAUCGAUUAACACAUACAAAACAACCAAAUGUAGAAUGGCUUCUUGCACAGCAAGUCACCGACGUUCAAGAACAGAUAAAGUUGAUAUUUUUAUACUAAAUUAAACAAGAUAUAGCAACCUAACAGUAUCCAAAAUAUCAGCCAAUAUCAUGCAAUAAUAAGACUUGAAAUGUAAAGAGAUAAGGGAAAGAAAAAGCCUGGAACAGGGAAUUUUAUCCUCGUUCGUUCGCGGGUCCACUUGAAAACUACAUCCAAGCCUCUCCUUCUGAUCUCGGAAGAUUUUUCUUCACUAAUAUUGAACAGAAUGUAUAGUUACAUGUAAACUUCCAAUACAACACUUAGACACAUCCUUCUUGAAUCCAAGAACCCAAUUUCUUGGUUUGACUCUCUUAAUCGCCUAAGAAAACCUUUCUUGCGAUCUAGCCCCAUCCAAGAACUCGUUCUAAACUCAAGACCUCUAAGUCUUGGUGAAGACACACCAAAUCUCUUAGGUGAUAAGACAACAAGAGACAAAUUCCCUUAUUACAAAACAAUAUACAAAACUUAGUUUUAUAAAGCACACUUUUGCUUAAAAUAUUACAAUUAAAAAAUCAACUAAAACCCAUAUACAAAACUCACAAGAUAAUAUGAAUAUGUAUGAGUUUAUGAAGAUGCAGAAACACAUAAUUUAUACCCUAAAAUUCUCUUAAAGAAAUGCAAGAAAACAUGCAAGAAAAGAUAGGAAUGUUUAACAUAUAAACCACAUGCAAUUUGAUCACAAUUAAAGCCUAAGCAUGGUACUAUCUCUCACAAUCUCACAAUGCAUUUCACUCUGCCAAUAGGAUACAAUUAAGCACGAAAAUAUGCACCUAGCAAUUUCUAAAACUGAAUGAUACGAUGUGGUACACGUUCUGAAUUCACAGACUUUAUAGAAUACAAUUCUGAGUCUCAUUUAAUCGAUACAUUACCUAUUUAAUCGAAUAACAAGUUGUUGGGAAUAACUGUUUUAUGGUUUUCAGUUUUCUUUUGGAACCGUAAUCACGUUAAUCGAUUAACACAUCUCUUAAUUGAUUAACUCGCACAUUUUUAGCUUAUUGAUUAAAUGGUAAAUAACCUAUAUUUUAUGCUUAUCAACUAUACAUGUUUUACAGAUAUAUUAUGCCUAAGAUGCACAAGUAACAUGUAUGAUUAAUGCAUGAACAUAUAGUGAUCUAGAUGGACUGUCUCAUGUAAAUGAAAUGAUUACUUUUAAGGCUUGUGAGAAUUGCAUCUAGGUUUACCUAACCUAAAUUCAAUAUCUAUGGCACACAUCUUAGACUUCUAAAAAUAACUCUAUCAAAGAACCUAGUCUAGAUAUGAAACCCUUGAGUCCACGACAUGUUGACUUGUUGAGUCAUAUUCAAGCUUUCACUAAAUUCCUGUCUUCAUCAAAAUAUAGGAAAAAUCCAAUAUUGAUCUACUUGAAAAUUUACACUUUCAAGUGUCUUGCGAUGCAUUCACCGAAAUAGGGAAUGCCACUGAAGCAAGAAUCUCAUGUGAGGCACGGGUCACUUUCACCAAGCCCUCAGAACAUGUGUCGUCACUUUCACCUGCCACUCGGAAAGUGUUGAUGGCAUAAGUCUAUUUCACCUAGCACUGGGAAAGUGUGUAUGGCACGGGUCUAUUUCACCUAGCACUUGAAAAGUGUGUAUGGCACAUGUCUAUUUCACAUAACACUCGGAAAGUGUGUCAAUGCCUCAAUUUCACCUAGUAGCACUCAGACAUAUGUGUCAUGGCCAUCACUAACACUUCGAACGAUGUAAUUUCUAAUUAUAUAAACUACUGCUAACCGUGACUUGGACAUCAUGAUACAUUUAGUUCUACUUGAAAAACCAUACCACAGUUAACAACUUCAUCAUAGCCCAGUUAAAACCAUAGUGUCAUGGUCGUCACCCCGCACCCCCAUGUGGUGGGCCACCCCCCUCCACCCAUACCUCCAAGCCGGAGUCCCAGCCCAAGUCUGUGACUCGACCCUACGGCUGUGACCCUUACAUAGUGAAGGUCAUGGAAUCCAUGACUUGGGUGGGGGUGUCAUACGAUAGGCCACCCACCAGACGAAUAAGGGACUAUGUGUCCAUCAUGGACUUUGCACCUAUUCGACUAAUCGCACACACGAGUUACUGUUCUGCAACCCUCAUUGGGUAUACGAACUAGAACUUAAAAGGUUCGAGACUGGUGGCACAAAAAAAGGCGACAGGAGAAAAAUCAAAGUGGAUCAUAACAGCAAGUCCACUAUGCAUGUUUCGAAGUGCCCUGUUAUUUAAGUCACUGAAAAGACUCUUGGAGCGCAUGUAGAGAAUGUUGCUGCAAGGCGUCCCGCAUAAAUCUCUUAACCAGGGCAGAUCACAAACCGAAUGAGACAAUGUUGGGCAAAAGCCCCAUGCUGCUUCUCAAUGGUGGGCCACUUAAGUACUUCCAUUUAGGCAUCACCUAAUCCUUCGGUGCACAAUGGUCACAUGAGAAUCUUGGGCACAUCCACAGGAUGCCCACAUGUACAUACCUCGCCAUCGUGUCACCGAUCCAGAUCAUCACCAGACCAUAGUUUAGCGAGGGACGAGCCUAUGCAUGGCACGUUGUAGCUUGGGUCACACACCACCACAGUGUGACUUCAAAAUAUGCAAACCAACAACAACACAAUUACGAACGAUUGGACUUGUGCCCAUUCAUGUUGUGGCUCUGCUGCUUAAGGCUUCACCUAACACGACAUCCUUCCAUACAAAACGGGUCACACUAGAAGCUUGGGAAUGUCCGCAUGACGGAGACAACUAACCAACUCGGCAUUGUGCGACCAAACCAGCACGUCAACGGACCAUGCUUUCCCAAGGGACAAGCCUACACAAGCUACAUUCUUUGCUCGAGUCAUACACUACCACACCUUGACUUCAAUCGUGCAAACCCGCCGAUAACACACUUCGGGAUGAUUGGACUUGCGCUCCUUCAUGCAGUGGAUCUGCUGUAAGGGCUUCACCCAACACUACAUCCUUCUGUGCAUAACGGGACACACUAGAAGCUUUGAAAAGUCGGACAGAGGCCCGCAACUACCCAACCAACAUCAUGUGACCAAACCAGCACCUCAACACCACACACUUUUCCAAGGUACUGGCCUACACGAGACACUUUGUUGCAUGAGACAUAAACGACUGCACCUUGACUAAAACCAUGCCAACCUGCCCAUAACACACUUAUGGAUGAUUGGACUUGUGCCCCUUCAUGCUCUGACUGUGCUACUAAAGGCAUCACCUAACACCACAUCGUUCCGUGCAUAACGUGCUACACUAGAAUCCUCAGCACCUACGAGCGAUGCCCGCAACUACCCAACUCGGCAUUGUGUGACGAAUCCGACACCUCGAUAAGAGGGACUUACACAUCAAGAAACUUACCAAAAGAAUGUGAGCUAGUGGUCCAUGAAGUUUCACGAUUUUUCUCCAAGCCGAUAAUUUUUCAUAAUUUUUCUAAGUGACGAGAUUUACAUAAUUCUAGAAAAUUAGAUAAUGAGUGUGUAACAUGUUUUUUGAGUUUUUCUUUUGCACGAAUGCUAGGAACAUUAUUCUAAACAUUUCCCAAAGUUACGCCCAUGUUACAUCGAGGCAUUUACCUGAAAUGAUUUUCCACCAAAGUGUGGGACACGCGGAGGUGCAAGGACAUGCAACAUUACCUAGGGGUUGAAUUCUUACGUGAAACUUUGCUAGCAACCAUGGCUAAAAAUUAUGGGUUCCCUUCCAAAUAUGGAGGCAUUUCAUGAAGGGCCAACGUCAUAUGAUGCUUUCACCAAAAUAGGGAAUGUGAGAGAAGCAAGAACUCACACAAGGCACGGGUCAUGGCGAGGGUCCCUUUCACCAAGCCCUCGGACCAUGUGCCAUGGCAUGGGUCACUUUCACCUAGCACUCGGAAAGUGUGUAAUGGCCUCAAUUUCCCCUAGUAGCACUCAGACACAUGUGUCAUGGCCUCUCUUUCACCAUGCAUUCAGGAUCACGCACGAGGAACCAUACCAUGCAAAAUGCACCCCAACCAUCAGACACAAUGAACCACACACAAGGCACCAUGGGGCAUGGCCAGAGGCGAUGUCGCACUCCACAUUGUUAGUGACUUUGUCUCUACCGUGUUCUUGCGGAACAUGGACUUUGCUCCUACUCGCCUCGUCGCCCAUACAAGGUGCGAGUUCGUAACCCUUGUAGGGUGUACGACCUAGCUCAGAAAAAGGUUUGAGAUGGGAGGGAUGAAUCGAAGCGACAAGGGCUGAAUCUCAAUGGAUCAUCAUCACAAGGCCAUUCUACCACUUACAAUACCCUGUCGCCUAUUUAAAUCGUAUGCAAAGGAUUCUACCUGCCGCCUAAUGGCGAAUAGAGCUUCAAGGCGUCCCGCGAGGCUCAUCCACCCUACGGGGCUCACCAACGGCACGUCCCUCUAGAGGUCAAGGCCCCCUACUACUAGUCGGCAAACAGGCAACGGGAACACACAUCGCUUCUAGCCCAGAAUCUAACUUAGAGGCAUUCAGUCAUAAUCCAACACACGAUAGCUUCGUGCCACUAGCUUUUCAACCAUGCGCGAUGACCAAUUGAGUGAAUCAAUGAUUCCUCUCUUACUAGGUUGAAUUACUAUUGCAAAUUGUCAUAAGUAGAGUAAAACUAACCUGUCUCACAAUAAUCUAAACCCAACCCACGUUCCUUAUUGGUGGGUGAACAAUCCAACACUUGGUGAAUUCGGCUUCACAAUGAAAGGAAGAGUCGAUAUCGAAGGAUAAAAAAGCAACGUCGAUAUGAACGCUUGGCUGCCACAAGCCAGUUAUCCCCGUGGUAACAUUUCUGACACCUCUAGCUUCAAAUUCCGAUGGACUAAAGCAUCGAUAGGCCAUGCUUUCAUGGUUUGUAUUCGUACUGGAUAUCAGAAUCAAACGAGCUUUUACCUUUUUGUUCCGCACGAGAUUUCUAUUCUCGUUGAGCUCAUCUUAGGACACCUGCGUUAUCUUUUAACAUAUGUGCCGCCCCAGCCAAACUCCCCACCUGACAAUAUCUUCCGCCCAGAUCGACCGACCGAGGCCGACCUUAGGUCCAAAAACAGGGAUUGUGCCCUGCCUCUGAUUCACGGAAUAAGUAAAAUAACGUUAAGAGUAGUGGUAUUUCACUUUUGUUGUUUCUAGCUCUCACUUAUCCUACACCUCACAAGUCAUUUCACAAAGUCGGACUACAGUCAAGCUCAAUAUGGUCUUCGUUCCCUGCUGAUUCUGCCAAUCCCGUUCCCUUGGCUGUGGUUUCGCUGAUAAUAGACAAGGAUAGUGGGAAUCUCAUUAAUCCAUUCAUGUGUGUCACUAAUUAGAUGACGAGGUAUUUAAUUAGAUCUCGUUAAUCCAUUCAUUAAUUAGCUCGAAGCAGUCCACCGAUAAUUGACGGGUUAAGGACUGAGACCCACGUGUCGAGCCCUUAGAGCCAAUCCUUUUCCCGAGGUUACAGAUCCAUUUUUCCGACUUCCCUAGCCUACAUUGUUCCAUCAACCAGAGGCUAUUCACCUUGGAGACCUGAUGUGGUUAUGAGUACAACCGGGCACGGGAGGCACUCGGUCCUCCGAAUUUUCAAGGGCUGUCGGGGGCGCACUAGACACCAUGCAACGUGCGGUGCUCUUCCAGCCGCUAGACCAUACAUCCGGCUGAGACAUUUCCUGGGUGGUCAUGCUAUUAAACAAAAAAAAUAACUCUUUCCGUGGCCUCUGCCGACGUCUCCAGACUCCCUAACGUUGUCGUCAGCCGCCACAUCCCGGUUUAGGAAUUUUAACCUGAUUCCCUUUCGGAGUGCACACUUAGAGCGCUAUCAUACAGGCUUCCCCCAUCCCUUAGGAUCGACUAAUCCAUUUCCAAGUGUUGUUCACAAGACGAUUCGAUUAGUCUUUUGCCCCAUACCCAAGUCAGACGAACAAUUUGCGCAUGAGUUUUCCUCUGGCUUCGCCCCGCUCAGGCAGAGUUCACCAUCUUUCGGGUCCCAACAGAUAUGCUCUCACUCGAACCUUUCAUAGAAGAUCAAGGUCGGUUGGUAGUGCAACCCACAAGGGCAUCCCAUCAAUCAACUUCCUCGCGUCUUACAAGUUUACUUGCCCACUGACUCACACACAUGUCAGACUCCGUGGUUCGUGUUUCAAGAAGGGCCGAAUUGGGGAGCCCUCAGGCCGACGCCUGGAGCACGACGGUGCCGAAGCAUAUCAAACGUUGUGCGCUUCCAACUGUAAUCGAGAUGAUAACGUCUCCGCGAUCAUGUCAACAUCCUGAGCUUGGGCCACCAUCAUAAUUCUCGUCGGUCCAUGCCCCAAGUCAACUGGUGGACCAACUCUCGCCAUUUCGCAUCCAACCGAGGCACAUCACAGGCCCUCAUCUGCUUCCCUCCCGACAAUUUCAAUAACUCUUUGACUCUCUUUUCAAAGCCUUUUUCAUCUUUCCCUCGCGGUACUUGUUCGAUAUCGGUCUCUCGCCAGUAUUUAGCCUUGGACAGAAUUUACCGCCCAAUUGGGGUUGCAAUCCCAAACAACUAGACUCACCGACAGCGCCUCAUAGUGCAACAGGGUCCAGGGACGACGAGGCUCUCAACCUCUCUAGCGCCCCCUUCGAGGGGACUUGGGCCUGGUCUGCCACUGAGGAUGCUUCUCAAGACUACUAUUCGGACACCGAAGGCGACCAAUUCUCAUGGUGGACUUUUCCUAGUUUGGUCGCCGUUACUUUGAAUCCUUUUUAGUUUCUUUUCCUCUACUUAUUGAUAUGCUUAAACUCAACGGGUAGACCUGCUUGGCCUGAGGUUCCCGUAUUAGGAGGCCAACAAACCCCCAUGGAUCAAAUAGUCGUAAAGCUCGUGGGGGUGAGACGCACGAUCGGUCUCGAGCUUUAGCUUAGACAUCAUCCAUCACGGCUCCCUCCACCGUGGACUCAGUUUUCUACCAACCGUGAGACAUUGCUAGCGGGAUGCCACAGUUCGCCCCGCUUGGUGCCUAGUACGUAGCCAAGGCACGGGGCAACGAUGUGCAACACCCAGGAAGGUGUUCCCUUGGCCUAAUGGCUUCAGGCACAACUUGCAUUCAAAGACUUGAUGGUUCACGGGAUUCUGCAAUUCACACCAAGUAUUGCAUUUCGCUACGUUCUUCAUCGAUGCAAGAGGCAAGAUAUCCGUUGAUGAGAGUCUUUAGGAUUAGUGUGUCGCAACACCGCCUGCACGAGCACCGUCUCCAGGAUGACGGGGGCGAACUAAACAAUUUCGAUUUCCUUGGCGCGUUCUGCAUCGGGGUUUUAUUAUUAGGUUAGAAGGACACCACAGAGGGUGUAACGCCUCCUGACAUGAGGGGGACUGAGGUGCCAAACACCUCUAGCCACCCCUGAGGAGUAAAACAGAUUGACAGGGUCGCAUUGCUUGUGAGGCUUUGACAAUGAUCCAUCAGCAGGUUCACCUACUGAAACCUUGUUACGACUUCUCCUUCUACUAAAUGAUAAGGUUCAAUGGACUUCUCACAAUGUUUCCGGCAGCGAACCGCCCACGUUGCCGCAAUCCGAACACUUCACCGAACCAUUCAAUAUGUAUGAGUGACAAGCAGUGUGUAUAAAGGGCAAGGACAAAGUCAAUGUGAGCUGACGACUCAUGCUUACUAGGAAUUCCUCGUUGAAGACCAACAAUUGCGAUGAUCUAUCCCCAUCACGAUGAAAUUUCAAAGAUUACCCGAGCUUGUUGGCCAAGGCUAUAGACUCGUUGAAUACAACAGUCUAGCACACAUGCAACAAGGUGAUCUAAGAACAUCAUAGACCUGUUAUUGCCUCAAACAUCCAUGGCCAAAGCGGCCAUAGUCCCUCUAAGAAGCUGGUCGUGGAGGGUUACCUCUACAUAGCUAGUUAGCAGGCUGAGGUCUUAUUCGUUAACGUAAUUAACCAGACAAAUCGCUCCACCAACUAAGAACGGCCAUGCACCACCACCCAUUGAAUCAAGAAAGAGCUCUCAGUCGGUCAAUCCUUACUAUGUCUGCAUGUGGUUAGUUUCCCCUUGUUGAGUCAAUUAAGCUGCAAGUUCCACUCCUAGUGGUGCCCUUCUGUCAAUUCCUUUAAGUUUCAACCUUGCGACCAUACUCCCCCGGAACCAAAAGCAACAUCUGCUGGUCCCUGGUCGGCAUCGUUUAUGGUCGCGACUAGGACGGUAUCUGAUUGUCUUCGAGCCCUCAACUUUUGUUCUUGAUUAAUAAAAACUGUUGGGUCCUAGUGAGGUAAGAUUACACCUAGAGGGGGUGAAUAGGUGUAGUGGAUCACUAAUCCCGUUUUUCUGAUAUUUGCACAUAAUACAAAGUUGCUGCAAUUAAUCCAUUAUCAACAUGGUUAAUUGAUUAAGGAUAGUUAUGUUAAUCGAUUAUAAUCAGUACGUUAAUUGAUUAUUCUGGUUGUUACUCUUUGAAAGAAAUAGUUCUCUUGCUUUGCCAAACAAUUAUGAAAUUAUAUCUUGACUAACUCAAUAUUGAUUCGUGAUUAUCAGCAAAUUAACAAUUAAUCACAUAAUGCAAUUUCAACACAGAAAGUAGUAAAGAUAUAAUCUUAAAGAUAUAGGGAAAUAGAAAAAUGGGCUCGAGGAUUUUAUCCUGAUUCGUUUACGAAUCGACUUGCAAACUACAUCUAGGCCUCCCGGUUGAUCUGGGAGAUUUUUCUUUACAAUUAGAAAUGUAAUUCAGUUACAAACACACUUCCAAUAUUCCUAGACAGAAAAUUCCUUCUUGAACCUGUUGAGCCACCAAGCUCAGUUUGACCUCUAUCUACGCCUUCUUGGAUACCAAACCGUUCGCGCAAUCUGGCCCCAUCCGACACUCUUUGCUCAAAUCAAGACUCCCUAUCUUGUGAAGAUCCCUAAUUCUCAACUUGUGAUGAUCCCACACACCAUGAGAAUUAUCCUCAACUGUAAUGAAUUUUUCCGAGUUACUUUGCACACAAGAUUGUGCGAAUUACGACAAUUAAAUCGGCUCUUCUACAACCCUUGACAGAAUGAUCUCACAAACAGCCCUAAGAACUAAGUAUAGAAAUCAUGCAAGGUAUUUCAACAGAAUGAAAACUGUUGGCACAUUGAAAUGACACUCUUUCUUUUCUCUCUUUUCACUCAUGAAAAAGUUUGGAAUAAAAACUUCAAAGAAUCAACACACUAGCUUUGAAAACUUUAGCACCAUGAAUCUUUAUUUUUCUUUUCUCUCAGUAAUUUUUGAUACUCCAUGAAAGCGUGAAAAGAAUUGCUUUAAAACUGAUUUAAUUCUGUUGCAAAAUAACAGAAUUAGUUCAUAAGGCACAACUGAUAUUAAUCGAUUAAAUGGCCAUGUUAAUUGAUUAACGGGUUUCUUGAAAACAUAUUUUCAGUUAUGGCUUAAUCCAUUAAAAGCUUACUUAAUCAAUUAAUAAACAGAAAUCCUGGGAGGUUAGCUUCUGUAACUCCAUUUAAUCGAUUAUGACUUUCCAUAAUCGAUUAAGGAUAUCACUAGGAAUUAAUCGAUUACAAACUGGGUUAGUCGAUUAAAAUCGUUAAAAAUGAUUUUUCUAAUUUAAAUGGUAAACACCCUACAUGAUGAAUGAUCAUGCAAUCAUGAUUUUAGAAAUNNNNNNNNNNNNNNNNNNNNNNNNNNNNNNNNNNNNNNNNNNNNNNNNNNNNNNNNNNNNNNNNNNNNNNNNNNNNNNNNNNNNNNNNNNNNNNNNNNNNGUGAGACACUUCCAUCUUGGGUUUACCUACCCUAAGAAUCAAUACUAGGCAACCAACUUAUGACUCUAGAAUGUAAGAAGAAAUCCUAGAUUCUAUGACGAUGACUUUGAGUUCUUGGUAUGUUGUUUAUUGAGAUGUCCAAGUCUACAAGCUUCCAUGUAAGACCUUGUCUUCAUCAAAACUUCGUAGGUCAGUUGUAAUGGCAUCCUUUGACUAUUUUCCAUUUCAAUCUUCCCCUUUUGAUGAUGACAAACACUGAAAAAAUUCUUUUGUUUGAUAAGUUGAAGCUGGACAUAAUAUGUUUUUGAAUCAGAAUGUGCUACUCCCCCUCACUUUAUUCUCCCCCUCAAACCAUGUAAGAGGUAAUGCUAGGAUAGCAACGUGAUUACUUUGCGGAAUCUCAUUUCAACCUGCAAAACAACUUAAACAAUACCUUUCUCCCCUUUUGGCAUGACAAAAAAUCUAUGGCAAAUUAUGAUAUUAAAAGCCAAAAGUAAGGAACGAUAUACACAGUUUACUAGUCUUAAUCGAUUUAUAAUCAAGGAUAAUUGAUUAAGCAGCCUAAAAAAAUUACUCGAACAUGGGCACAAAUUUUAGCAUCAAUCUAUUAUUAUAUGGAGUUAAUCGAUUAUGUAGUAAUAAAACAGAUUAUGACAGAAUUGAUUGUGAGAUUUAUCUAGUUGUGUAAGUUCAACAUAAGUUCCAUAGAAUGAUCAAAAGUAAUGAUUUUGCAAUAUUCAGAACAUAUCAAUCAUUCAACAUUAGAUAUACACAUUAGAUAACAUCAAAGGAUAACACAAUAACUUGUAAACAUAAUCCAAAUUAGCAACAAAGUUUUGCGAACCAUAAGAGUAACUACAAUAAACGAGUACAUAUUGUACAAUAGAAAGAACAUCAAAAUACAACCAUAACAUAGUCAAAAUCAAAAUAAAAUCAUCAAAGUAUAACACACACACACACACUAGACAAUCCUAUCUAGGCUAAUCUUGUGUAGGUGGUAAUGGGGAUGAGCCACGGGUAGCACGCACAAUGAAAAUGAUGCGUUCUAGAUUUUCGGAUAGUCUCUGCUGCUGCUGAAAUUUAGUGGUCAUGGAAUCCCUCAUAUUCUGAAAAUGUCCAUGAAAACACGCAUUGAGGCAUUGUUCCAUAACAUCCAGGUGAGCAAUCCCAAACGAUGGGUCUUGAGGCUCAACAAAUGCCUCGGUAGGUGGUUGCUCAAGGAUAGACUCACUAGGAUUUGCAGCAUUAUCUUCAGUUGGCAUAUCCUCAUUCACUCUGGCAGUAUGAUCUUCUUGAUAUUUCCAUUCAUUAUCGUACUUAUAGAUGCCUAUUUUGUGAGUCAGAUUAUCACCAACAAGAUGCUCUCGGGAGUUAGUCAUGAUAUUGUCCACAUGAGUGGUGUCAAUCUUGUAGUAGUCAAUGAUACGAGAGAUGAAGAUGAAGUUAUGCCAUGCAUAACUUUCAGAAUCUCUGAAGGCCAGUUUACCAUAAUUCCUUAUCGAAUGGCAAACAUAAGCUUCAGGUCAUUAAUGGUGGGUUGAGCAUGAUUGGUAUUUCCCUGAACCAAUAUGUAUGCAAUCAAAUAGUGUAAGCGUCGAUUUUCUAAAGACAAAUAUCCUACUUUGGUCAAUUCCCCUUGCACAAAUAUGUGAGGUCCUCUUAGACAGGACUUGUACAUUUCAAUAGUAUCGAAUGAGUCCCAUGACUCAUUGUUACAGUCACCUAGCCUAGCUCCAUCACAGUCAAGACCUCCAACAUCCAAAAAUAACUCUUCAUCCAUAAUAAUCAUCUUCCGCAUUACCACUGAUGAAUAUACCUCAUCCUUAUACCUGAAAAUGCUAUAGAAUUCUCUAAUGACUGAAGGAUACAAUUUACCUUUCAAUUCCACAAAUUUGUUCACUCCUUGGGUCUCCAACCCAUGUGGGAAUUGAAAUCCUUGAGAAUCAAGCCAUUAUGCAUUUGUAUACUAGAUGUAGGUUUGCUUACGGCCUUGAAACUUAGCCAAUCUAGCCUCUUGAAGAAUGGGAGAGUAGUAAGGGUCUCCAUGACUAGUUCAUCCUCGUUGAGCCAAGGAAGAGCCUUUUUCUCUGCGUCUCACACCCUUGGCAGUAUGCUUCACUCCCAUGCUCCUUGGUUCACUCAUCUUGCAGGUAUAACAGUGAAUUAACCGAUUUGAUAAUCGAUUUUUCGAAUUUGGGGUUUAGGGUUUCUAAAGAGGGAAAUACGGUGAGGAUACAGAUUGGGUAGAGAUUUAGGGUUGUAGAGACAUGGAACUAUGAGGUAGAUACAAUAAAGAAUCAAUUAUCCCACGAUAUUUUGUUACCUCAAUUGCUUUACCUUUUUCGUCUUUAUCGGGAUAGUAGGAUGAUGCCAUAGGCGUUGUCGCUUCUUUACAUUUAUCCAUCUCGAAUCUUUGCAGAAGUUCCUUGCAAUAUUUUGUUCGGAGAAUGAAUAUCCCGCUGCUCAGUUGUUUUAUUUGUAGUCCUAUAAAGAAUGUCAACUUGCCCAUCAUCGACAUUUCAAACUCCCCUUUCAUAAGUUCAGACAAUUCCUUACAAAGCAAAUCGUUAGUAGCACCAAAUAUUAUAUCAUCUACACAAAUCUGUACUAGUAACACAUUAUUUUCUGAUUUUUGUAUAAAAAUAGUUGUAUUAACUUUGCUCCUUUCAAAUCCCUUUUCUAAUAAGAAACUACUCAAUCUAUCAUACCAAGCUCUAGGAGGUUGCUUUAAACCAUAUAAAGCCUUUUUGAGUUUAUAAACAUGAUUAGGGAAUUUAAGAUUUUCAAAACCGGGCAGUUGAUUUACAUACACCUCUUAUUGAAUAUAUCCAUUCAAGAAGGCACUCUUUACAUCCAUUUGAAAGAUUUUGAAUUUCAUAAUCGAUGCAAAGGCUAGUAACAUUUGAAUAGCCUCCAACCUCACAACAUGGGCGUAGGUUUCAUCAUAGUCGAUGCCCUUUUCUUGAUUAUACCCUUUGGCAACUAGGUGUGCCUUAUUUCGUAUAGUCAAACCAGAUUCAUCCAAUUUAUUUUUAAAGACCCAUUUUGUGCCUAUAACAGGAUGAUCUUUAGGAUGAGGGACCAAGUCCCAUACAUUAUUAUGCUCAAAUUGGUUUAGCUAUUCUUGCAUAGCUAUACCCCAAUGUUCAUCCUCUAAGGCCUCAUGCAUUGGUAUUUCAUAUGGCUCGGCUUGCCACACUCAUGGAAAAUGAGGCGAUCUUUGGGAGCUUUGCCUCGUCUGGUUGAAUCAGUUGCCUCUUUCUUUUGAAAGCGCUUAAACCCUCCUUUCUUUUUGGUAAACUUUCCAAACUUUCUAACCAUGAGGGUUAAGGUUUCAUCAUCUAGUUUAGACCCUGAAUCAUCAUCGUCUCUCUCUUCUUGUGAUUGUGAAGAUGUAGCUUUCAAGGAGAUCCCCUUUUUCUUUCGGUCUGAAUCUUCAUGCAUUGUUAAGCAUCCUAACUUCAUUUUGUGUUCUUGGAGUUUUCCAAAGAGAGUUUCUAGAGACAUUGUGUCUAAGUCUUUUGACUCCAUAAUUGCGGUUACCUUGGGCUGCCAUUUCCUAUCAAGACAAUGCAACACUUUGUCAAUACGUUCACCAAUAGCAAAAAUCUUAUCUAAUGCAAUUAAAUGAUUAAAAAUAUGGGUGAAUCGUUUCUGCAUUUCAUUAAUUGAUUCAUUUGGAAACAUAUGAAACAACUCAUAUUCAUGUGUUAAUGCAUUCAAUCUUGCACGCUUUACCUCACUUGUGCCUUCAUGGGUUACUUGCAAAGUAUCCCACAUUUCUUUUGCAUUUAGGCACUGUGACACCCGAAAGAACUCAUCGUAUGAUAAGGCAGAGGUUAUACUAUUCUUUGCCUUGACAUUGUGCUGGACUUUACGUCUUUCUUCGCCAGUCCAGAAUCCCUUUGGUUUUUCUUUGGGUUCAACAUCCACUAAGUGAAGUGGAGUGAAAGACCCGUUUACAACAGAGUCCCAAAUCUCUGUCUAUAGCGUCUAUAAAGAUUUGCAUGCCAACCUUUCAGUUGGCAUACCCCUCGCCGCAGAUGAUCGGAGGGCGGUUGAUGGAUACGCCAUCAAUACCGAAAGGGUUAGUGGAACCCAUAGUGAUUAAUCCAUUGGAUCAAGGAAUUUAGCAGCCAAACUAGCACCUUCGUACUAGCUCUGAUACCACUUGUUGGAUACUAGUGAGGUAAGAUUACACCUAGAGGGGGCAUGAAUAAGUGUAGCGGAUCACUAAUCCCGCUUUUCCGGUAUUUGCGCAUAAUACAAAGUUGUUGUAGUUAAUCGAUUAUCAAUAUCGUUAACCGAUUAAGAACAGUUAUGUAAAUCGAUUAUAAUCAGUAUGUUAGUCGAUAAUACUAGUUGUUACUGUUUGAAGAAAAAAAACAGUUUUCUUGCUUUGCAAAACAGUGAUGAAUCUAGAUCUUUACUAACUCAAUAUUGAUUGGUGAUUAUGAUCAGAUUAACAACAAUUAACAAUUAACCACAUAAUGAAACUUUAAUAUAGAAAGCAGUAAAGACAGAAUCUUAAAGAGAUAGGGAAAGGGAAACUUGUGCUCGAGGAUUUUAUCCUGGUUCGUUCGCGGGUCCACUUGCAAACUACAUCCACGCCUCCCGUUGGAUCUGGGAGAUUUUUCUUCACUAUUAGAAAUGUAAUUUAGUUACAAACGCACUUCCAAUAUUCCUAGACAGAAAAUUCCUUCUUGAAACUGUUGAGCCACCAAGCUCAGUUUGACCUCUAUCUACACCUACUUGGAUACCAUAUCGUUCGUGCAAUCUGGCCCCAAAUGACACUCUCUGCUCGAAUCAAGACUCCUUGUCUUGUGAAGAUCCCUAAUUCUCAACUUGUGAUGAUACCACACACCACGAGAAUUAUCCUCAACUUUACUUAAUUUUUCUGAGUUACUUUGCACAAAAGAUUGUGCGGAUAACGACAAUUAAAUCGUCUCUUCUAUAACCCUUGACAUAAUGAUCUCACAAACAGCCCUAAGAACUAUGUGUAGAAAUCAUGCAAGGUAUUUCAACAUAAUGAAAAAUGUUGGCACAUUGAAAAGAGUCUAUUUCUUUUCUCUCUUUUCACUCAUGAAAAAGUUUGCAAGAAAAACUUCAAAGAAUCAACUUGAAAACUUUAGCACCAUCAAUCUUUGUUUUUCUUUUCUCUCAGUAAUUUUCGAUACUCCAUGAAAGUAUGAAAAGCAUUGCUUUUAAACGGAUUUAAUUUUGUUGCAAAAUAACAUAAUUAGUUCAUAACUGACAUAACUGAUAUUAAUCGAUUAAAUUGUCAUGUUAAUCGAUUAACGGGUUUCUUGAAAACAGUUUUUCAGUUAUGACUUAAUCGAUUAAAAGCUUACUUAAUUAAUAAGCAUAAAUCCUGGGAGAUUAGCUUCUAUAACUCCAUUUAAUCGAUUAUGACUUUCCUUAAUCGAUUAAGGAUUUCACCAGGACUUAAUCGAUGACAAACUGGGUUAAUCGAUUAAAAUCAUUAAAAAUGGUUUUUCUAACUUCAAUGGUAAACACCUUAUAUGAUGAAUGAUCAUGAAAUCAUGAUUUUAGAAAUGAUUAUACCUUUAUGCAUAAAACUAUGUAUGUUAAAUGCAAAUGCAUUAGUGUUAAUUAUCACACACACACACACACAUAUAUAUAUAUAUGUAGAUGUUAUGCCUCAUUUUAUGUGAUUUUUAUUUUAGACUCUUUGUGAGACAUUUCCAUCUUGGGUUCACCUUUCCUAAGACUCAAUACUAGGCAAUCAUCUUAGGACUCUAGAAUGUAAAAAAAACAAUCCUAGAUUUUAUGACGAUGACCUUGAGUUCUUGGUAUGUUGUUUGUUAAGAUGUCCAAGUCUUCAAGCAUCCAUGUAAGACCUUGUCUUGGCAAAUUCUUUCACAAUUGUUGGUAUUUCAUAAAUCCAAGAAUUUCACCUCUGACUAUGAAAUACGAAUGCCCCCGACUGUCCCUACUAGUCAUUACUCCGAUCCCGAAGGCCAACGCAAUAGGAUCAGAAUCAUGUGGUGUUAUCUCAUGCUAAUGUACUCAUUCCAAUUACUAGACUCAAUGAGCCCGAUAUUGUUAUUUGUUGUCACUACCUCCCCGUGUCAAGAUUGGGUAAUUUGC